GUUUUUUUUUUUUUAAUCCGAGUAGAUAAUUUACAAGGAUUACUUAAAAGAUUUCCUUACUCUUAGGAACAAAAUAGAUUCAGCACUUGGGAAGCGCAACGAAAAGAAAUCGGAUUUUAACCUAAUGCAACAGCUACUUUACCCACCUUUGAAGGCAGAGGGCUCUUGGAGACAAGGUCCAAGGGACCUCAGCAGAGAACACUGAUUCCGAGUUGAGGGUGUUGGUUAAGGCUGUGGAGGAAGCUGAUUGGGUCUUACAGGGGUCUUGAAGAAUGUCAAAUGUCUGCUCUCAGAAAUGUCAUCGAGGCACCUGCUGAUAAGACAAAGCCAAGCUUACUGUUCAUGAGGUAAUGGAGACAAUAGCUUGACAGCAUUUUUGUGGUGUCCUGGUGAGGGAAAAGCAAGGCUGGGCUAAAUAUUGAGCUUAUGAUGUCUGGUUUAAACCCGCUCUUUAAUGUGUGGUGUGUGUGUGUUGGGGGGGGGGGUAGUUAGGAUUGGAUAAGGAUUGGGUAAUAGUUUAGGAUUGCUAGAUAUAACCAAAGCUAGGAUCCUGAGACAAAGGUUCAAGAAAUCUUGAGUUGCAACCUGUUCUUUGAUAUUUUCUAUUGAAGAGUGGUUGGAUCGUUGAGGAAGUUACUGGAAUAAAAAAAAAAAAUUGCAACUUUUUAAUUUCCUGGCAGAACGUGCCUGGAAUAAUAAAUUUAUAUUGAUGAAAACAGGACAAGCAAGUUAUGUGAGUUUAGAUGGUUUCAGUUCUCAAAAUGGUGAACGUACCUGAGAAUGAAAUUAACAUUCGUUACUUACUCCGAGUAUUUUAUCCUGAAAAGAAAAUCACUCACGAAAACACAUUUGAGAUGAUUUGUUUGCCGAACACCGAAUUUGGACACAGAGAAGUUGAUCUUAGAAAAUAUUUUUGCAAAAAUGAACCUUAGCUCGAAAAGACAUCAGUUCUUCUAAAAUGAGAACAAGCUGUCUGGUAAGCGCUGCAAAAGAAAUACAUCGUUUCACUUUGUCGCGGUUCUUUUUUACUUUCCCAGGAACGGCACUCAGAACCCACUUCAGAAAUGACAGCAUCCAGGAAUACAGGGAUUUUUUCCCUCCCGCUCUCACCAGCCUGAGGAUUUUCUGCCAAUGAAUUCUCUCAAAAUUCCAGGUUGGCCCAGAACUAAAGUGGGUAACUUACCAAAGAGGAAGAGUCCGUUCCAAGUUCAGCGAUUAACUCGCCUUGGGGGACCUUUCCCUCCAACACUAGAAUCCCGCGCUUCGGAGAACUCAAACCGCGUAGGAAAUGACGCUUCUGGCCAACGGACGGAGAGAUCCUGAGGUCACCUUCUCUUUUUAGACAGCAACUCGCCUACUCGGAUGCCAAUUGGCCGCUCUCGGGCCACCAAGUAGAGAGGCGGGUCAAAGUGGGGGAGCGCUCCCGCUCUUUUUCCCUCAGCGCUACUCUUUAUCGCGGCCAGAGUGACCACGCCCCAUAACUUCAUUGCCGAUUGCGUCACACCUGCUUCUUUUCUUCCUGUUUCUCUAGUCUGGAGUAUUAAAAAGACCCCAAUGGGGAUGGAGGUGGGUUAGGCUGGGCGGCGUUUACAGGGAGUGGGACGCGAGACCCUGGGAGCCGAGAGGACUGUCGCGGACCUGCAGCUGCGUAAACCGAGCAAGGUGCGUGGACACCAGCCGGGUUCAUAGGGGGCGGGAAAGUGGCUCCAGGGUGCCCAGCAGUCACCGAUAAGGGAGGAGGCGAAGUGACACCCGCUCCACAGCAGAAUCUGCGCCAACACUCAGUGGGCACGGUGGCUGGGUGGGCAUGAGGGAAGCGGGAAGUUCGAGCUAUUGGUCGCUUCCCGCGAGUCAACAUCCCCAGGAAUAUGAAAAUCAAGAAGCAGCUACAGAUGUAGGCAGAGUAAACGCCCUUGUCCUAGAUCGAUUUUCCGAACAUGUGCAGACAUCUACAAUCCUGAAGAAGAAGAUGGUAUAGACUCCGGAAAUAUACAUCAAAACUGAUGACCAAAGAAGAUUGGGAAAAGCUUUCAAGGCAGCCUACACACAGGACCGGCAUUCAAAGGUGCCGGUAUCCAAGGACAUUCUGGGACAGUGACAAAUUUCAAUGACCAUUAAGAGAUGGUAAAGAAUACUGAGGUUGAAAUUGUCGGUCAAUCUGAAGACACUGUUUUCAAGAGCUGUCCUGGUAGUUCCAAACACUGAAGAACUUCCUACCAUUUGAGCUGAAUUGCUAGUAUUUCAUACACUUUUGAAAUAUUGGCCAGAAGUUAAGAAUCUCAGAAAGCAGCAAACACUAUUGUUGGAUUGUAGAUAUUAGAGUAGGUCUUAUGAUGAUAGCAUAGAGCACUAAGAAUGUGUUCAUGCCACUGGGAAGUGUUUUCUCUGGUGGAUUUUAUUUCUCUUUCUCUCUCUGCCAUUUUUACAUUUCAAUGCAUAAGCAAAGUAGUGAUUUAGUAGACAACAGGCUUAACAUCUUUCGAGAACAUGAAUGUGAAGAAUUCAACAGGUUGACAAAACUCUCAAUCCACAAAAUGAAGAUUCACUAUUAAUCUUAUUCAAAUGAUUUUGAUAGAUUGAAAUGUUAGUACACGAAAAGAUAACAGGAGGUUUAUAGGAUACAUAAAAUGUGUUCUAACACCUGUGUAACUAAACCUACCAUGUAGCAAGAUAUCUAUCACAUUCUUUCUGAAAUCUUCAUAUAAUUUUGUAUAUUUUAGUAAAAUUUACUUUUAAA